rnacentral:rRNA from 1 species
UAACACGUGUGUACCUGCCCCGCGGUGGGGGAUAACGCCGCGAAAGCGGCGCUAAUCCCGCAUCCGCUCCCCCAGCACCCGCUGCGGGAGGAAAGCCGAAAGGCGCCGCGGGAGGGGCGCGCGGCCCAUCAGGUCGUUGGUGCGGUAACGGCGCACCAAGCCACUGACGGGUAGCUGGUCUGAGAGGAUGGCCAGCCACAUUGGGACUGAGAGACGGCCCAG